GUCCACGCCCUAAACGAUGUCUACUAGUUGUCGGGUUUUAAUUAACUUGGUAACGCAGCUAACGCGUGAAGUAGACCGCCUGGGGGAGUACGGUCGCAAGAUUAAAAACUCAAAGGAAUUGACGGGGACCCGCACAAGCGGUGGAUGAUGUGGAUUAAUUCGAUGCAACGCGAAAAACCUUACCUACCCUUGACAUGGCAGGAAUCCUGAAGAGAUUUAGGAGUGCUCGAAAGAGAACCUGCACACAGGUGCUGCAUGGCUGUCGU
rnacentral:rRNA from 1 species